UCUUCUAUCUGGUACACACCUUGGAGAACACCAUUUCCAAGCUCCAUUUUAAGGCUCUGAGGUGAUGAGGGCCCAUGUCAUCCAUUCUGAAGCACAAAUCGUGGAUCUGUUUGAAUAGCACACAAGCUCAUUAGCGUUAUCUGGGUGAUGGAGGCUGUUCUGUGAAAACUUGUGUCUUUCAGAUUUUUGAUGUUUUUUGCUUUCCUGGUUUACAGUGGGGAGGGUUUUGAAACUUCGGUUAAGUUUCUCUUGUGCCUUCUUGUCCUGUUUGGACAUCCUGAUGCUCAUCUGAGCAUCCCCUCCAGUUGUGAAAAUUGUUUCUCUUCUGGCUAUUCCUGAAGGUGGACUGUACUCUCCAUGCUCAAGGUGGCUGCGUGUCUGCUUUCGGUAGGGCUGCUCCUCCCUGUGGCUGAACCCAGCUUCUGAUCCUUCUCUUCCUGGCUUGCUCUGCCUCAAGCCAGUCCACAGAUCUUCAGCGUCCCUUGCCCUGCAUGGAAAUCUAGGCGAUGAGCAUGAGAGUGUGAAUGCGCCGCACAGCAGAAGCUUCUGUUUUGUACCCUCUGUAUCACUUGCUCUGGAGGAAGUCAGAUGCCAUGUGAUAAGAAUACACAAUCAGCCUCAAUGGAAAGCCCAUGAGCAGAGGAAGAAACUAUAGGAUGCAUUAGGAGGACGUGAAGAUCACUGACAGGUUCCCAUGGUGAUACUGUUUUGCUGUGCUUGGGCUGACCACUCCUGAGUUAGUAAGGUAAUGACAGAUCUAAGGACUAUUUUAUUAGUAUCCAGCUUUCCUAUU